GUGAGUAAUAUAUCGGAACGUACCCUAGAGUGGGGGAUAACGUAGCGAAAGUUACGCUAAUACCGCAUACGAUCUAAGGAUGAAAGUGGGGGAUCGCAAGACCUCAUGCUCGUGGAGCGGCCGAUAUCUGAUUAGCUAGUUGGUAGGGUAAAAGCCUACCAAGGCAUCGAUCAGUAGCUGGUCUGAGAGGACGACCAGCCACACUGGAACUGAGACACGGUCCAGACUCCUACGGGAGGCAGCAGUGGGGAAUUUUGGACAAUGGGCGAAAGCCUGAUCCAGCAAUGCCGCGUGAGUGAAGAAGGCCUUCGGGUUGUAAAGCUCUUUUGUCAGGGAAGAAACGGUGAGAGCUAAUAUCUUUUGCUAAUGACGGUACCUGAAGAAUAAGCACCGGCUAACUACGUGCCAGCAGCCGCGGUAAUACGUAGGGUGCAAGCGUUAAUCGGAAYUACUGGGCGUAAAGCGUGCGCAGGCGGUUUUGUAAGUCUGAUGUGAAAUCCCCGGGCUCAACCUGGGAAUUGCAUUGGAGACUGCAAGGCUAGAAUCUGGCAGANGGGGGGUAGAAUUCCACGUGUAGCAGUGAAAUGCGUAGAUAUGUGGAGGAACACCGAUGGCGAAGGCAGCCCCCUGGGUCAAGAUUGACGCUCAUGCACGAAAGCGUGGGGAGCAAACAGGAUUAGAUACCCUGGUAGUCCACGCCCUAAACGAUGUCUACUAGUUGUCGGGUCUUAAUUGACUUGGUAACGCAGCUAACGCGUGAAGUAGACCGCCUGGGGAGUACGGUCGCAAGAUUAAAACUCAAAGGAAUUGACGGGGACCCGCACAAGCGGUGGAUGAUGUGGAUUAAUUCGAUGCAACGCGAAAAACCUUACCUACCCUUGACAUGGCUGGAAUCCUUGAGAGAUCAGGGAGUGCUCGAAAGAGAACCAGUACACAGGUGCUGCAUGGCUGUCGUCAGCUCGUGUCGUGAGAUGUUGGGUUAAGUCCCGCAACGAGCGCAACCCUUGUCAUUAGUUGCUACGAAAGGGCACUCUAAUGAGACUGCCGGUGACAAACCGGAGGAAGGUGGGGAUGACGUCAAGUCCUCAUGGCCCUUAUGGGUAGGGCUUCACACGUCAUACAAUGGUACAUACAGAGCGCCGCCAACCCGCGAGGGGGAGCUAAUCGCAGAAAGUGUAUCGUAGUCCGGAUUGUAGUCUGCAACUCGACUGCAUG
rnacentral:rRNA from 1 species